rnacentral:lncRNA from 1 species
AUAACCUUUCAUUAACGUUAACAUGGGGGCUUUGCCCGCGCAGGUUCGAAUCCUGCCGUUCACUAAAAGCUUCUUAUGCUUAUUAAUGAAAGUGGUUAAUUAGAUAGGCAAACACGUUCCAAUGAGAACUAGGCAGUGGUGGCUGUCUGGACAAUCACUGUCUUUAGAGCACUGUGCAGUAACCCCAAGGAGCUUUCUAGUGACAAUGUCAUUCUUGCCUGAAAGUUUUGUUAGAAAAACUUAUGGUUAGAGAUUUAAAUUUUUAUUUACCUAUUGCAAGGGCCAUUGAAACCAUUAAAGAGAUGAACAAAAGUUGCAAAACUAUUGUUGAGAGCUGAAUCUUUGCC